rnacentral:rRNA from 1 species
GUGGGGAAUAUUCCGCAAUGGACGAAAGUCUGACGGAGCAACGCCGCGUGAGUGAUGAAGGUUUUCGGACUGUAAAGCUCUGUUGUUUAGGACGAAAGUGCCUGUUGCAAAUAGUUACAGGUAUUGACGGUACUGAACGAGGAAGCCACGGCUAACUACGUGCCAGCAGCCGCGGUAAUACGUAGGUGGCAAGCGUUGUCCGGAAUUAUUGGGCGUAAAGAGCAUGUAGGCGGGAAUCUAAGUCUGUUGUGAAAAUGCGGGGCUCAACCCCGUAUUGCGAUGGAAACUGGGUUUCUUGAGUGCAGGAGAGGAAAGGGGAAUUCCCAGUGUAGCGGUGAAAUGCGUAGAUAUUGGGAGGAACACCAGUGGCGAAGGCGCCUUUCUGGACUGUGUCUGACGCUGAGAUGCGAAAGCCAGGGGAGCAAACGGGAUUAGAAACCCUGGUAGUCC